rnacentral:rRNA from 1 species
GGAUUCGAUCAUACAAGCACUAAAGCACUGGAUCCCAUCAGAACUCCGAAGUUAAGCGUGCUUGGGCGAGAGUAGUACUAGGAUGGGUGACCUCCUGGGAAGUCCUCGUGUUGCAUUCC